rfam:Otolemur garnettii contig017668, whole genome shotgun sequence.
CUGGGGUACGGGGACAUGUACCCCCAAACGUGGUCAGGGAUGCUCGUGGGAGCCCUGUGUGCCCUGGCUGGCGUGCUGACCAUAGCCAUGCCCGUGCCUGUCAUCGUCAACAAU